GAGGGGUGACAGGCUGGGUGAGUGCUGCCCCUUAUCUCUGUUCUUCUGGGUGUGCUGCCAAGGUGAUUUCUUCUGCAUUAGAUAAGACUGAUUAGGAAGGGGAGAGGGGUGGGCCCGGGGCAGUGCCCUAGCUAGCAACGGCUGCUCAGAGGCUUGUCCCUCCUGAUCACUAAAGCCAGAAAACAACUGGUCUCCUGGUAAGGUUUGCUGGGGCUUGUGCUGAGAGCGAGGGGGCUGAGCCAGGGCAGAAGGGCUGUCAUAACAUAGCAGGGACAGUUGGGAAUGAUGGGGCUUUGACCAUGUGUGCACUGUUCCCUCUGCCUCAAGCACCCCAAAGGGUAAGUACCACCCUUAUUCCCAUCUUACUGCUUAUUGCAGACUGAGGCUCAGACUGGCUAAAUAACUUGUGCAAGGUCACACAGCUUUGUAAAUGGGAUUUGGACCCAAUGGUCAUAUUAGAGCAGUCACAUCCUGAAGAUGCUGUUUCCCAACCAAAGGGACCAGCUUCCCUUACAGAAGUCCCUGUGCCCAUGGGUUGGGCCAGGCCAUUGCUCCCAUGGGAGACCUAGAGGUGUGUUAGAGAAGCUGUAAAAGCCAACCACAAGGGAGGGCCCAGCUGAGUACUGACCGAAAGGUGGAAGACUCUACUCUGUGCAUCAUGGUGGGGAGAACAACUCUCAAAGGACGGACUCUGUGUAGCAUGGCGGGGAGAACAACUCUCAAAGGACGGGGCUCUUUCUAGGGUUACCCAGCCCUCAGGCAGCAUAGCUGGGUGGGACCCCAGUGGAGCUCCCUUCCCUGGCCCCUUGUGCUGGCUCACCUUCUUUGGGAGAGCAUGUCCACCUUUUCCUGAAAAGCAGGCAGCCAGUCGGGAGCCCAGCCAGGAGCUCUGAUGCUUAGGGGUCCCACAGCUGGGCUGUCCCCAGUUUAGGAUGCCCAUCCUGCUGGAAUCUCUGGCCUGCCUGGAAGGGUGGCUUGUUCUACUGGCACAUUCCUGGGUUUUAUUGACGUGGCUACAUGUGUGAGUGUGUGAGAGAGCGAUGUGGCAUAUCACAUCUGUGUGCAGAACUGGAUCUUGCAAGUGUAUAACUGUGUGUGCACAUGUGUACGCAUCUUGCAUUUUUCAGGUGUGCCUCUGAUGCAUGACCAUGUGUGUACCUUGUCUAUGAGUGCACAUCCAUGUUGGUGUGGCUCACAGGGAGCAGUUUGCAGCUUUUGUUUUUUGACCAGACUUUUGUCGGAGAGUUCCUGAGAGUGGUCUCAGGGUGGGAGAUGCCACUCCUGGAGUCCUGGCUGGCCCAGGACAGGAGCUGUGACUGGAAUGUUUGAUGUGAUGCUGGCAGCCCCUUUCCAGGGGAGUGCAGAGGUGACCAGGGAAGGGACUUGUUUCAAAAAGCAUCUUGGGUUAUGGAGGCCCUUUCUGAGCGCAGGCACCCUCCACCCCAAGGACCCGAAGGUGCCAAUCAGCAGACCCGCAGGGCUUCUUCAAGAGCCUCUGCUCUAGCCCCACCACGUUGGGUGUCAGUGCUGGUGCUGUAUGCCUUUGAGCCUCGUGCCGCACUCUGCCAAGUAGGACCUCUGGUACAGCGCACUUGCACGGCAGCUUGUGAGGCCUGAUGGGGGAGGUGUGUAAUGUUGGGGGGUCAGGGAGGAGACCAUAGACAUGGGGCUUUAGAGGCAGAGGGAAAGGUACUGGGGUGCCUGGUGGCAUGGUUUAAAGCCCCAGUCCUGGUCAGCCUCCAGCUCACUGUGUGCCCUCACAGUAGUCUCCCUUCCUAAGUCUCAGUUUCUUCAUCUGUAAAGUGGGGGUCCUACUCACUGCCUCUCUUUACCAGGACCAGGGGUGCUCAGCAGCACCCUUUCUCAUUGGUGGAAUAGUCACACUUAAUCCAAGAUCAGAGUCUGAGAAGAGAAGAGAAGGUUCUCUGCCUGGCCUUCAUGUGGGCGUACCCCAUCUCAGAGACACUACAGACUUAGAGGGACUCCUCUUGGAUGCAUUCUUCUCCUGGUGGGGUGCGGGGCUGGAGAGAGGUUGGGCAUUUGGCUUGACCUGUCCCUCCCUCUGUGUGGUCCCCAGGUCUCUCCAGCAUCAGUCUGACUCUUAUGAUGGGCUCAUCUUCCUGGGCGCCGUCCUCUGGCUGCUGUUAACUGUUGGCAAGUGGCCCUUCCAUUUGGGAUAGGAAUGGGUGGGACCAUAGAGGAAAGGUAUGGUCCUUGGUCAAGACUGCCCAAUUGGCCCACUCCUACAAGAGGAGGAGACCUGUCUUCUAGGCUGUCUCAGAAAGUAGACAGGAACCACAGCCAAAGUGCAUCUUAGGAGGCAGAUCUCAGCCCUGACACAGGGGCAUUAUGAGGUAGUGAGGUAUACAAACAAGAGUGGGAUUUAUGGAGGGAAUUCAGCUCUGCCACUGUUUAAGCCUUGGCAUUGUUCCUCUUGCUCAGGAUUCACUCAACAGGGAAAGGCAUGGUAGGUGCGUGACAUGAUGAGGUCCCUAUGGAGUUGACCCUGGAGCCAUCCCUGCUUCCAGCCACUCCUAGGGCUUCAAAAGACUUCCCUAGAUUCUCUCAAGCUCUUCCAGAGUGGAGGUCACACAUGGCAGAGGCCCUGAGAGCCUAGCACGCUGCCUCCCAGGGAGACUGUUUCUCUGAGAAUUUGAGAGUUCCAGUUGGCCUUCGAGAUCCGGACACCGCGGGAAUGUAUACAAGGCAUGCAUGUCCCUUAAGUGUGGCCAUAGGGCCAUCCGAUGGUCAGCGGUGAAGGGAGCUCUUGUAGCAGUUGGACAGGAGGACAGACCCAGCUUUGUGGCCACUUGGUCUGGACAGAGCAGGAGAAGUGAUGAUGAUGAUGAUGAUGAUGAUGAUGAUAAGGUAUCAUGUUUAUUGAGCAGCUACACUCUGCUAGCCACUAUUCUAAGGUUCUCGGAGCUGGAAUCCCCUCCACGAGUUAUACUUAAUUGCAUACCGCCUGCCACGGGGAACUCAUUACCCCAUGAGGCUAUUCUGGCCUUUAUGUGUACUUUGGUUCACGAAAGCACCAUCCAAGCUUGUCAUUCUGGCCCACAGGCCCACAUAAUCUGUUUGCCGAUCUCACCUUUGCAGGCCAUGCUCACACUUGGACCUCAGCCCUCUCUGUGCCCUCUCUUUCCAAUGCUUCUUCCCCAGUGGCAACUGUAGGUGGUCUUAUAAUGGUCUCCGCUUUGUUUUGCACAGGCCACAGGCAGUAACUUACUGAGUCCUUACAAUAGCCUUGGAACAGAGACAUCAAUAUGCAUUUUACAGAGGGGGGAAUGGAGGCCCAGAAAGCCUGCAGGGACAGGGCUAGUGAGUAUGACUCUAGUUACACCCCAGGCAGUGCCUCAGCCCCACCCUGACCUGCAAGUAUUAUGGCAGGCAUGCCUCUCCCACCCGGAGACACCUGCAGUCCUGGGCUGGCUUUCCCCUCAUCUUUCUCUGUGCACUUGGGAUUGUAAUGGCUGGGUGUCCUCUCCCCCCCACAGGCCCUCAGCUUUUUCAGGUGUACAACAUGGGUGAGGGAAAAGAGCUAGCAAUAGCAGCAGUGAUAACAGCAGUUCCUGAUAUGUGCUAAGCACUGCUCUGCAUGCACCUAACGCAGUAACUCAUGUAAUGUUCCAACAAGCCCAUGAGGUGUGCCUUAGUAUGUUGUCCCCAUUCUACAGAGAAGGAAAUGAGGCACAGAGCAUUUAAGUAAGUUCUCCAUGGUCCCACAACGAGUAAGUGGCAGAGUCAGGAGUUCACCCUGGGCUGUCUGCCCUCAACCUCCUCCCCCCAGACUGAGGACCUCUCUCCAGCCCCUUCUGCAAGCCUCUAGUCAGGUGUGGCCUGCUGGAGUGUUGAGAGGACCUCCACCUGCAGCUGGUCUUUGGAGUGGCCCCCUACUCGCUUGCUUGCCUCCCCAUGUGGGGAGCUCCCCACUCCCAAGGCUGCCUCUCUUCUUGCUGGGCCUGGUGAGCAGAUUCCUCUUCCUCCCACCAGGCCUGUUCUGGCCCUGGCACUGUGUCCUGUGCCACACCCUGUGCACCUUUGUGUGAUGAACAGUAUCCCUCCCUGCAUUCCUUUUCCCCAUUGUCACUUGCCCAGGUUACCAACGCCCGCUUCCUUCUGCUCUUGGUCCUGAAGCCACUGUUCCCUGUCCCUUCCCCUCUUGUGACAUGGUUCUGGCACCCUUGACAGGGUUGGAAUCAGACUUUCCCUAUUUCAAGCUAAGCAUCUGGGAAGUGGCUGCUUGCCUGCCUUCCUAGAAGUUUCCUUGCUUCACACUCAGACACAGGCCUGCUUUGUUCCCUGCAGCGGAACGUCCUGUUCCAGAAUGGCCAAGCAGUUCUGUCCAGAAAGAAUCCUUUCCUGCUGCAGCUAAUAUGAAUAUUAAUAACUUUCACCACCCCUGGGUGGCAGGUACUGUUGUCAUCCCCAGAAGAUACAGAGGCCCAGAAAAGGGGAUUUGCAGGCCUGAGGCCACAGAACUAAGAGUGGCAGGGACAGGAUUCAAGCCCAGUGGUCUGGCUCUCUUGGCCUGUGUCACUGCUUCCCCUACUCUAUGAGGCAUUCUCCGUACCCAUCCCUGCAGUCAGCUCGGCCUCCAAGUGUGGCUGGGCAGGCUGUGCACUGCACAACGCUGGGGGGUGCCAUUCCCAUUGGGAUCUUUGAGACUUGGCUUUACAAUCAUGGCUUUCUGGCAGAUGGAAGGGGUGCCUUUGCACAAAGGUGUUGUAUGUGUCAUGUGGUGGUGCUGACAUUAUAAGCUGCUCCGGAAAGUCACCUGGACCUCUGUGCUUCCCUGUCCCGCACCCGGUAACACAAUUCACAGUAACCAGCCACACACUCAAGGACCUUCCCAGAGGCCAGGUGCUGUGCUAAGCUCCUUGCUGAUAAUAAGAGUUCACAUUGUUGGGUGAUUGCCACGUGUCAAGCAUUGCUGUAAACACUUGUCGCCUUUUAUAGUCCUCUGAGGCAGGUCUGUCACUUACCUGGCUUCAGGUGAGGAAACAGCCUCAGAGAGCUUGCCAACUUGCCCAGGUUGCUGGUCAGUAUGUGCCUGCAUCUCAGCCACCUGUCCCCUCCCUCUGUGUGGUCCCCAGGUCUCCAGUGCUGCUCUUUGGGACAAUGUGAGUAGGGUGUAAGGCAGGGAUCUUCUGAGGGUUCAGUUCCUAGGGAUGGCACCUCUCAAAUUGCCAGACCCUAAGGCAGUAGGGAGAGGGCUUGCAGGUGGGGACAGCUUCUUCUCAGGCCAGGCUUUCCCUUGGUGCCCCCAUGAUGGCAGGGGCCCUGUGGUCCUGUGUCACUGCCUUUGGCCUCUGAGAAAAGUUCCGGAAGGUAGACAAGAAUCCCAAGAUUUUUACUAGAUAAAUGAGAAAACAUGCCCAGUAUGGUUCUUAAGUUUCUCAGGACCACAUAGGACUCCCAGUUGGGUGGGGUCCUGAGCAGAUCCUGCUGUUCCACUGCUGUGGGACCCCCAGCAAGCCUCUUGUUGUCUUUGAGCUCUUACCGUGUGAUAUUGUCAGUGCCAUGGGCUGAUCCUGACUCCUUGCGAGGUGCAGGCACGCCCAGUGCCUGGUGUCUGGGAAGGCUCUAGCACGUCGAUGGCAUUUCCUGUAGCUUUCUGCUGCUCCCUGCCUUGGGCAUGCCCACCUGCUCUGACGCUGUAUGUCCAACUGCAGCUGGAGGCACGUGGCCCUGGCCCAGGAGCUCAGGUUCAGGUUCUGACUGCCAGAGCCUGUUGAUGCUGCUUCCUCCCUGGCACAGAGCUCCAGUGGCACAUGCCUUCCAGCCAGGCUCUGUGGCCAUCAGGGUGGCAGGAUACAGCAGGGAGCUGUUUCAAGACCUUUGUGCAGGCCUCGGCUGCUCUGCCCUACCUGUGACCCUAGAUCAUCACUCUGAGCCUCAGUUUCCUCAUCUG